AUGCCACCGCCGCAGCAUCAGCAGUUGGAGGAGGUGAUGGGCCACGGCGAUCCCAUGCUAGUGGCGAUGCGCAACAAUUACCGCCAGAGGAUAUUGGAGCAUGCAGAAAGGGUGGUAACUGCGAGAUUACAUAAAGGAUUGAGGGUACCUGCUGACUGGCAGCGGGGGCUGCCGGAGCUUGCUAGGCGGGUCGAGAAAGUCUUGUUUGAGAAACACCCAAACAAGGUGUGCCAUCUCUUGACUAGGAAGAGGGAGUACUACAACAUGACGAAUGAACCAAUUCAUCCACAUUUCGAGUUUGCUGUCACGACCUCGCUUGCUCAGACUGAGAGGCAGAGAGCAUCUUCCACUGCCUAUGCUCGUGUCACCCAAGGGGAUACCACCAACGAGCUUGUGAGCACAGUACUAUCUCUGGGGAUGAACUCUAGUGAUGACCACUCGCAAGUGUCGAACAGCAUCUUGGCAAACCGUGCACCUGCUAAUAAGGAGGUCUCAAAGGAACCAAAGUUCACCUGUCCAUUCUGCUUUGACGAGCUGGUCGAUGCGACGAUGCGUCAUCGACUAUCUGCGGCCACAUCUUCUGCGACAAGUGCAUCAAGUUCUCCGUCCAGGCUCAGAACAGGUGCCCUACCUGCUGGAGGGGCCUCACCAUGA
rnacentral:rRNA from 1 species